AGUGAACGCUGGCGGUAGGCCUAACACAUGCAAGUCGAACGGCAGCACAGUAAGAGCUUGCUCUUACGGGUGGCGAGUGGCGGACGGGUGAGGAAUGCAUCGGAAUCUACUUUUUCGUGGGGGAUAACGUAGGGAAACUUACGCUAAUACCGCAUACGACCUACGGGUGAAAGCAGGGGAUCUUCGGACCUUGCGCGAUUGAAUGAGCCGAUGUCGGAUUAGCUAGUUGGCGGGGUAAAGGCCCACCAAGGCGACGAUCCGUAGCUGGUCUGAGAGGAUGAUCAGCCACACUGGAACUGAGACACGGUCCAGACUCCUACGGGAGGCAGCAGUGGGGAAUAUUGGACAAUGGGCGCAAGCUUGAUCCAGCCAUACCGCGUGGGUGAAGAAGGCCUUCGGGUUGUAAAGCCCUUUUGUUGGGAAAGAAAAGCAGCAGGUUAAUACCCCGCUGUUCUGACGGUACCCAAAGAAUAAGCACCGGCUAACUUCGUG
rnacentral:rRNA from 1 species